rnacentral:tRNA from 1 species
GGAGGGUGUAGCUCAGUGGUAGAGUGCGUGCUUAGCAUGCACCAGGUCCUGGGUUCAACCCCCAGCACCUCCA